rnacentral:rRNA from 1 species
GAUGAACGCUAGCGGCAGGCUUAAUACAUGCAAGUCGAGGGGCAGCAUGAGUGUAGCAAUACAUCUGAUGGCGACCGGCAAACGGGUGCGGAACACGUACACAACCUUCCUAUAAGUGGGGAAUAGCCCAGAGAAAUUUGGAUUAAUACCCCGUAACAUAAUGGUGUGGCAUCACAUUAUUAUUAUAGCUACGGCGCUUAUUGAUGGGUGUGCGGCUGAUUAGAUAGUUGGCGGGGUAACGGCCCACCAAGUCUACGAUCAGUAGCUGAUGUGAGAGCAUGAUCAGCCACACGGGCACUGAGACACGGGCCCGACUCCUACGGGAGGCAGCAGUAAGGAAUAUUGGUCAAUGGACGAAAGUCUGAACCAGCCAUGCCGCGUGAAGGAUUAAGGUCCUCUGGAUUGUAAACUUCUUUUAUCUGGGACGAAAAAAGGCGAUUCUUCGUCACUUGACGGUACCAGAUGAAUAAGCACCGGCUAACUCCGUGCCAGCCGCCGCAGUAAGAC